CAAGGAAUUUUGUGCAAUGGGCGAAAGCCUGACACAGCGACGCCGCGUGAGGGAUGAAGGCCUUCGGGUUGUAAACCUCUUUUCUCAGGGAUGAAUAAUGACAGUACCUGAGGAAUAAGUCACGGCUAACUACGUG
rnacentral:rRNA from 1 species